rnacentral:rRNA from 1 species
ACAAAGGGCAGCAAACUCGCGAGGGCAAGCAAAUCCCAUAAACCGUGGCUCAGUUCAGAUCGUAGGCUGCAACUCGCCUACGUGAAGCAGGAAUCGCUAGUAAUCGCAGGUCAGCAUACUGCGGUGAAUACGUUCCCGGGCCUUGUACACACCGCCCGUCACACCAUGGAAGUCGGCCAUGCCCGAAGUCGUUACUCCAACCCUUGUGGAGGAGGACGCCGAAGGUGGGGCUGAUGACUGGGGUGAAGUCGUAACAAGGUAGCCGUACCGGAAGGUGCGGCUGGAUCACCUCCUAAC